rnacentral:pre_miRNA from 1 species
UAUUUGUGAUGGCGAUGAUGAUGAUGAUGAUGAUGAUGAUGAGAAGAGUGAUCAUCAUUGUCAUCAUCAUCAUCAUCAGCAUCAUCAUCAUCACGA